rnacentral:rRNA from 1 species
GAUGAACGCUAGCGGCAGGCUUAAUACAUGCAAGUCGAGGGGCAGCAGGUCUGUAGCAAUACAGAUGCUGGCGACCGGCAAACGGGUGCGGAACACGUACAGAACCUUCCUUCAAGUGGGAGAUAGCCCAGGGAAACUUGGAGUAAUAUCCCAUAGGAUAGUGGAGUGGCAUCACUCAGCUAUUAAAGAUUCAUCGCUUGAAGAUGGCUGUGCGGCUGAUUAGGUAGUUGGCGGGGUAACGGCCCACCAAGCCUUCGAUCAGUAACUGGUGUGAGAGAACGACCAGUCACACGGGCACUGAGACACGGGCCCGACUACUACGGGAGGCAGCAGUAAGGAAUAUUGGGCAAUGGAUGCAACUCUGACCCAGCCAUGCCGCGUGGAGGAUGAAGGUCCUCUGGAUUGUAAACUUCUUUUAUUUGGGAAGAAAUGCCGACUUUCUAGUUGGUUUGACGGUACCAGAUGAAUAAGCACCGGCUAACUCCGUGCCAGCCGCCGCCGUAACAC